AUUGGACGCUGGCGGCAGGCCUAACACAUGCAAGUCGAGCGGAGCGGCUGACGGGUGAGUCAUGCCUAGGUAUGUGCCCGGUAGUGGGGGAUAACGUCCGGAAACGGGAGCUAAUACCGCAUACUAUUAGCUUCGCCUAGGUCGGAGUAGCCGUUUGGUGGGGUAAUGGGCUACCAAGGCGACGACCCGUAACUGGUCUGAGAGGAUGAUCAGUCACACUGGAACUGGGACACGGUCAAAACUCCUACGGGAGGCAGCAGAGGGGAAUAUUGGACAAUGGGCGAAAGCCUGAUGCGGCCAUGCGGGGUGUGUAAAGAAGGUCUUCGGAUUGUAAAGCACUUUAAGAUGGGAGGCGUUACCAACAGAAUAAGCACCGGCUAACUUCGUGCCAGCAGCCGCGGUAAUUC
rnacentral:rRNA from 1 species